UACAGAGGUCUCAAGCGUUGCUCGGAAUUACUGGGCGUAAAGCGCACGUAGGCGGCUUUGUAAGUUAGAGGUGAAAGCCCGGGGCUCAACUCCGGAACUGCCUUUAAGACUGCAUCGCUUGAAUCCGGGAGAGGUGAGUGGAAUUCCGAGUGUAGAGGUGAAAUUCGUAGAUAUUCGGAAGAACACCAGUGGCGAAGGCGGCUCACUGGACCGGUAUUGACGCUGAGGUGCGAAAGCGUGGGGAGCAAACAGG
rnacentral:rRNA from 1 species